UACGGAGGGGGCAAGCGUUGUUCGGAGUUACUGGGCGUAAAGCGCGCGUAGGCGGUGCGGUAAGUCAGGGGUUAAAGGCUGCAGCUCAACUGCAGUAAGGCCUUUGAUACUAUCGCGCUAGAGUACCAGAGAGGAUGGCGGAAUUCCCGGUGUAGCGGUGAAAUGCGUAGAUAUCGGGAGGAAGGCCGGUGGCGAAGGCGGCCACCUGGACAGGUAUCGACGCUGAGGCGCGAAAGUGUGGGGAGCAAACAGG
rnacentral:rRNA from 1 species